GAGGGAGGGUGAUCUGGCUGCAACGUCUGUCAGUCUACUCAUCACCAAGGUUGACUCAGCUAAUUUGGCUGGCUAGGUCGGUGUCCCCUUUCAACCUUACCAUUCAUGUGUAUCUCACCCAGAGCUUCAUGCUUCGUUGAAGAGGACAACCUUCCCCUAUAGAGGCAGAGCACUGUUUUUAUCAAGGGUAUAUGACUAGCUGUACUCCCUGAUAGACCUCCACAUGCUCUCAAGCCUGCACUUUCUGAUUUUUUUCAUCCCUAAAUGUUCAAUUCAAUAUAUUAUUAAU
rfam:Rattus norvegicus chromosome 3, whole genome shotgun sequence.